rnacentral:rRNA from 1 species
CCUACGGGAGGCAGCAGUAAGGGAUAUUGGUCAAUGGGGGAAACCCUGAACCAGCAACGCCGCGUGAGGGAAGACGGUUUUCGGAUUGUAAACCUCUGUCCUCUGUGAAGAUGAUGACGGUAGCAGUGGAGGAAGCUCCGGCUAACUACGUGCCAGCAGCCGCGGUAAUACGUAGGGAGCGAGCGUUGUCCGGAUUUACUGGGUGUAAAGGGUGCGUAGGCGGAAUGCCAAGUCAGCGGUAAAAUCGCGGGGCUCAACCUCGCUCCGCCGUUGAAACUGGCGUUCUUGAGUGGGCGAGAAGUAUGCGGAAUGCGUGGUGUAGCGGUGAAAUGCAUAGAUAUCACGCAGAACUCCGAUUGCGAAGGCAGUAUACCGGCGCCCAACUGACGCUGAAGCACGAAAGCGUGGGUAUCGAACAGGAUUAGAUACCCUGGUAGUC